rnacentral:lncRNA from 1 species
UGAGUAGACGAUGCGGGACCUUGGGGAAGUUGGUGACAUAUUUCCUGAAUGUGUAUUGGCCUGUGUUGCCGUGACAGCAUAGAUCUGCAAUGAAAGAACUUCAUUAUAAACAUAUGUUCCCAGCCAGGUCCUUGCUUGGAAAGAGAAGCAAAAAAGAAAAGGAUUAUGCAAUAGACACGCCAAACACCAAGGCAAUGCGAAAUAUUCACUGAUUUUACUCAUAUUUUUCGACAACGCAUAUAAACUGGCCCUAAACAUUAUAUUAAAUAACAAUAAUGAAAAGAACUUCUUAAGGCACUCAGUCACAGGUUAUGAUCCUACCACCUACCAUUUUUACACUGUAAAAUGACCAUGUCAGUACUGAUUUUAUAUGAAGCUACAAAGAGAUAAUAAUAAUAACAACGACAUUGAUGAAAACUGAAAUCACAAUAUAUAGAAAACUGAAAUCACAAUAUAUAGAAAACUUGGUGUCACACCCUCCCUACGUCAUGGCAGUACCUGACCUCUAUUCUAAUAAAAUCAUAUUAUAACAAUUUGCAUAUAUAUACCUGACCUGUGUUAUAACAGAAUUUAUAUAUAUGCUUCACUCAGUGUGCCUACAAUUUUUAGAAUGUAAAUUUUCCCAUGUUUUGAGAAACCAUUUUAGGAUUGCAAGGAACAAUUUUGCAAAGUAUAACAUUGCAAGUAAAUCACGAAGAGUUACUAAGAAGCUACCUAGCGUGUAGCAUGGAAUCUCUUUCGUCAGCACACUCAACCAAGAGCACCAUUACAUAGAACAAAGAGGUGUAGGAAAAAUAGUUUGUUUCAUGUAUACUUGUAAACGAUAUUGCCAUUUUCCAAUAAAUAAAGUCAUUUCCUAAAAAAAACGCAUAUAAACUGGCCCUAAACAUUAUAUUAAAUAACAAUAAUGAAAAGAACUUCUUAAGGCACUCAGUCACAGGUUAUGAUCCUACCACCUACCAUUUUUACACUGUAAAAUGACCAUGUCAGUACUGAUUUUAUAUGAAGCUACAAAGAGAUAAUAAUAAUAACAACGACAUUGAUGAAAACUGAAAUCACAAUAUAUAGAAAACUUGGUGUCACACCCUCCCUACGUCAUGGCAGUACCUGACCUCUAUUCUAAUAAAAUCAUAUUAUAACAAUUUGCAUAUAUAUACCUG